rnacentral:rRNA from 1 species
UACGAAGGGAGCUAGCGUUGUUCGGAAUUACUGGGCGUAAAGGGCGCGUAGGCGGCCGUGUAAGUCAGAUGUGAAAGCCCCGGGCUUAACCUGGGAACUGCAUUUGAUACUGCAUGGCUAGAGGAUGAGAGAGGAAAGUGGAAUUGCGAGUGUAGAGGUGAAAUUCGUAGAUAUUCGCAAGAACACCAGUGGCGAAGGCGGCUUUCUGGCUCAUUACUGACGCUAAGGCGCGAAAGCGUGGGGAGCAAACAGG